rnacentral:rRNA from 1 species
CACGUAGGGGCGAGCGUUGUCCGGAUUUAUUGGGUGCGUAAAAGAGCUCGUAGGCGGUUCAGUAAGUCAGGUGUGAAAACUCCAGGCUCAACCUGGAGACGCCACUUGAUACUGCUGUGGCUAGAGUCCGGUAGGGGAGCAUGGAAUUCCUGGUGAUAGCGGUGAAAUGCGCAGAUAUCGUAAGGAAGACCAGUGGCGAAGGCGGGUCUCUG